ACCAAACAAGUGUAUAUACAUUGUCUACAACAUGUAUCUUAACAAUUUACAUUAGGUUCGUCUAUACACAACAAAAUAAUACUCGACUUCCAGCGGAGGGACUCGGAUGAAUGUACAACUACUAAAUGCCGAGACACCUACCAAAAGAUGGAUAUAAGUCUACAAGGACACCUCAUCCUAGUUACCUGCUGCUUCGUGAUC
rnacentral:lncRNA from 1 species